rnacentral:rRNA from 1 species
UACGGAGGGUGCGAGCGUUAAUCGGAAUAACUGGGCGUAAAGGGCACGCAGGCGGGCUUUUAAGUGAGAUGUGAAAUCCCCGGGCUUAACCUGGGAACUGCAUUUCAGACUGGGAGUCUAGAGUCCUUUAGUGAGGGGUAGAAUUCCACGUGUAGCGGUGAAAUGCGUAGAGAUGUGGAGGAAUACCGGAGGCGAAGGCAGCCCCCUGGAAAGGUACUGACGCUCAGGUGCGAAAGCGUGGGGAGCAAACAGG